GCUCCUUCUUCCCCCAUUUGCAUGCAACGCAGCAAAACAGAUUUGGGGAGGAAGAAGAGCCCCCAAACCCUUAACCUCCUUUGAUCCACCAUAACUCUUCCGUCCGGGCUCCGAUCGCCGCACCGUUCGCGGCCACGCGCUCAGCGCGUCGAGCUCUACCUUUCUAUCCGAACAAUUUCACUGGUUCAAGUUAGCUUCCGGAACUUGUGGGCUCAAGCUAUUGAGCAUAUGGGUAUGGUGUAGUUUAAGAGGGUGUUUAUGCAUUGGACUUGAAUUUGGAUUACUUGGAGCUUUGUUGGUGACAAGGCUUACUUUGGGGCUGUUUGAUUGAGCUUGGAGGGGCUGUGAUUUUGAGUUGUGAGGCUGCCUUGGGUGAACUAAGUGAUCGGCCAAGAUGCAGGUCGAGAGGCUCCUCGCUAGGCGUCUGGAUCUUAGGAAGCGAAGUAGUCCUUG